rnacentral:rRNA from 1 species
CCUACGGGAGGCAGCAGUGGGGAAUAUUGGACAAUGGGCGCAAGCCUGAUCCAGCAAUGCCGCGUGUGUGAAGAAGGCCUGCGGGUUGUAAAGCACUUUGAGUGGGGAAGAAGGCCUGGGGGUUAAUACCCUCUGGGAUUGACGUUACCCACAGAACAAGCACCGGCUAACUCCGUGCCAGCAGCCGCGGUAAUACGGAGGGUGCGAGCGUUAAUCGGAAUUACUGGGCGUAAAGCGCGCGUAGGCGGUUAAAUCAGUCUGAUGUGAAAGCCCCGGGCUU